rnacentral:rRNA from 1 species
AACGUAGGACGCAAGCGUUAUCCGGAGUUACUGGGCGUAAAGCGCGAGCAGGCGGCUCGACAAGUUCGAUGUGAAAGCGCCCGGCUCAACCGGGCGAGGCCAUUGGAAACUAUCGAGCUGGAGGGCAGUAGAGGCAGGCGGAAUUCCGGGUGGAGUGGUGAAAUGCGUAGAUAUCGGGAGGAACACCCGUGGCGAAGGCGGCCAGCUGGGAUACACCUGACGCUGAGACACGAAGGCGUGGGGAGCGAACGGG